GUCUAUGGCCAUGUCACCCUGAACAAACCCAAUCCCGUCUGAUCUCGGAAGCUAAGCAGGGUCAGAUCUGGUUAGUACUUGGAUGGGAGACCACCUAGGAAGACCAGGUGCUGUAGGUG
rnacentral:rRNA from 1 species